UAGGCCAUACGGGACGCAGCAGUGGGGAAUAUUGCACAAUGGGGGAAACCCUGAUGCAGCGACGCCGCGUGAGUGAAGAAGCGUUUCGGCGCGUAAAGCUCUGUCAGCGGGGAAGAAACACGGUUCGCGAGAGCCGCGGACGGUACCCGACCAAGAAGCCCCGGCUAACUACGUGCCAGCAGCCGCGGUAAUACGUAGGGGGCAAGCGUUAUCCGGAUUCACUGGAUGUAAAGGGAGCGUAGACGGCGAGACAAGUCUGGAGUGAAAGGCCGGGGCCCACCCCCGGGACUGCUCUGGAAACUGCC
rnacentral:rRNA from 1 species